CCCUUAGAUGUUCUGGGCCGCACGCGUGCUACACUGAGUGGAUCAGCGGGUCAGGUUGCGCGAAAGUGUUUCCUAAUCUUUAAAUCCGCUCGUGAUGGGGAUUGACGGUUGCAAUUUUCCGUCAUGAACGAGGAAUACCUUGUAAGCGCGGGUCAUCAUCCCGCGCUGAAUACGUCCCUGCCCUUUGUACACACCGCCCGUCGUUCCUACCGAUUGAGUGGUCCGGUGAGGCUUUGGGAUCUGGGCGGAAAGAGCGUUUCGCUGUUUCUGCCCGGAAAACUCAGUCGAACCUUAUCAUUUAGAGGAAGGAGAAGUCGUAACA
rnacentral:rRNA from 1 species